ACUCGGGUGGCGAAAUUGGUAGACGCACCAGCUUGAGGGGCUGGCGCCCUUACGGGUGUGGGAGUUCGAAUCUCCUCUCGAGUA
rnacentral:tRNA from 1 species